rnacentral:rRNA from 1 species
UACGGAGGGUGCAAACGUUGCUCGGAAUCAUUGGGCGUAAAGCGCACGUAGGCGGCUUGUUAAGUCGGAUGUGAAAGCCCUCGGCUCAACCGAGGAAGUGCAUACGAAACUGGCGAGCUUGAAUAUGGAAGAGGGUCGCGGAAUUCCCGGAUGUAGAGGUGAAAUUCGUAGAUAUCGGGAGGAACACCAGUGGCGAAGGCGGCGACCUGGGCCAAUGACAUUAGUACGGCUGAGGCGGCCGAAAGGCGUGGGGAGCAAAAGCAGGGUUGGAGAAACCCAAUAA